AAAAUAACCUUAGCCUUGAAACUAGUUCAAACUAGACCACUACACGUGUCUCUAUUCAAAUCCGAUUGGAUCAUGAUGUGUAUUUAUGAAAUAAACUUAUUUUGAUUGGUUCCUUCCGGCCAUGUGGUUCCGAUGUUUACAGCAACAAUGAUGGCGUCCGUGAAUCGAUAGAAGACCCUUUUGGAUAUUGUAUGCUAUCUUUGCCAUUAUUAUUUAUGUCUCAGGUUCUCCUGACUACAAUUAGAAGUAAUGAUCUACCUAAUCUGUUACAAGGAUAUAGACAUUAGAUCUACACACAUUGGGAAUUGUAGAUCAAAACAACACAUGCAGUGUACACUGACCCUUCCUCUUGUUGGAAGAAAACAUCACCACAUACUAGUACCUCGUCAACCAUCUACCCUGUCUGAAAGCUGCCUAAAUACUGCAGUAUGACAUAGAAGUACUUCAUAAUCAAACACCACAUCACAUGUUGCUUAUCACAAAUAUAGCAAUAAUUUCCACUUUAUAGACCUGGAUCUAUAUCAUGUUAACAACCUGGGAUUCUUUUCUCGUUGGAUGCUGUCAUUGACCACCACCUCCAGCUACAAAGACUCUAACAUCAUUAUAAAGUUCUACCUAACUUAUUUCAUUACAAUAUUCAUCAUCAAGCCCUGCAUGGUUCCUGGUGAACCAAUUUAUCAUCAGCUACUGUUUCAACAUAAAUAAGAAUCAGACUUUUUCUGUCGUUGUAGCUGUACACAUGCAAUGAGCUUCAGUCUCGCCAAGUCACAUUAUAUCAGCAUUUCUUACCAUCUAUAACAUUUAUACUGCACAGCAUACAUAUGUGCAUUAUCAGCUCAAUGGCUAUAUAUAAAAAGCCAUAUCAUAUUACAAUGAAGGACUAUCUACUACAAAGGCACUGCACUCUACAAUUAUUCAGCCACCUAAAACAUACAAGUUGCAUUUAUUUUCAAAUACUGGUGCCAUUCUAUUUACUGGAUUUAUUAUUGUGUGUACUCUUAUCAAACCACUAGUGUGAGUACAAAUAACAUUAGGUGCUUAUGAAAAAAAUGCAGGCCUGAAACCUGAGAAAGACUAGAUUCCAAAUUAUUUGAACUGGUGUAGGUAAUU